AUAGACUACAGAGGGAGAAUUGAAAGCUCUCUAUAAAGAGUAGAAAUAGAAAGAGAAAGAGAAAAAGGAAAGAGAAUAGUGCAGGAGGUGGAUCGGUGCCACCAUAGGUGUUGAUCAACGUUUUUAUAGUUCUUGUGUUCCUUUUGGUUUCUCUUCUUUUGUUUUAGUUUUUUUUCCCCUUGCUUUCGGGCAAGGGAAUCAUUUUCAUUCUUCCCCUCACUAAGGGAGAAUAAUGAAAUUUUGGUGUGGUUUUAUUUUUAUUUUGUUCCUUUUGCAGAUUUAUGGUGCUCAGCGAUGAGGGGCUUAAUUUCUUGAUCUAUUUGUGCAUGAGGUUCAAUGGCUUCUACUUUACUUUUCCGGGAGGUUUCUAACUUCAUGGUGUUUGCACCUCAGGAUCGCCUUAUUAAAUCUAGUGGGUUAUGCUCCCAUAGGCCGAUGAUCGGCUGAUGUUUGCUUCGCCAUCUCCUUUGGUUUCUUGAUUUGCUAGAGUUGCUCUAUUAUCUUUCUUCGAUUUUUAGAUCUUGGGCUUUUGGUGAUGCGAUGGAGACGAGAGUCGAGAUACAUUAUUGUUCAGUGUUACGUGAUAAAUAAAAGGUCAGACGACCAUUCUAGAAGUCGGGUGGCCACCCAAGGUCAGAUGAAAGUCGAACAGGUAGAAAUGACCAUUCCUAAGGUUAGACAGAUCGAAUGACUAUUCCAGAAUUUCAAAUCAGACGACCACCUGAAGACAGACGACCAGCUUAGAAGACUAGGUUGGACGACCACUCCAAUAGACCUGGUUGGACGAUCAGCCAAAGAUAGGCGACCAGGUCAGAAGAUCAGGUUGGACGACCACUCCAAUAGACCAGAUCGGACUACCACUCCAAGAUGACCAAGUCGGACAACUAUUCUAAAAUGACUGGAUUAGAAUCAAUGGACGACCAGACGAUCAUUCCAAGAUGACCAGAUCGGAUAACUAUUCUAAAAUGAACGGAUUGAAAUCGGUCAGAUAUUCUAGAAUUUUAUCUCUUCUUCUCUCUCUGAACUCACAUUUUUUUGUUGUAGCAACAGCUGUACAUUAUGAUACAUACUUCCUUCUAGAAUACUCGAUAGAACUGUAUAUAAACACAUUUUACUCAAAUAAAAUAAUCAAGCUUGUUUUGCCUUA